CCUCUCUCAGGGUCGCACCUGGAGAGUUCCCAGUACUCUACCAGUCCUGGCUAUGGGACAAGGAGUCAAGCAGAGGCCUACCCAUUCCAUUCCUAGCUUUGCCAGUGGCUAGUGAAUGGAAAGCAAUCUGCUACAAGU